GCCGGUAUUGGCCGAGACCCAUGGGCAUCCAGGUCGCGGCGGUCGUCACGCCGCCGCCGUGCUCUUCUUCCCCCUCGUCCUCCUCCCCGGCGUCGCCUUCGUCCUCGGCCAUUACCACGUCGCUGCGGCAUGCCGCGCCAGGCGUCAGGCUGGCGAGGAGCCAGUCGUCGCUGGCGGGCUGGAGCGCCGGCCUCGCCCCGCGGCGCGCCGGGCAGCACGCGAUCAGGCGCACCCUCAGCGCCAGCAUUGACAGCGUCGGGAGCGACGGCGGGGACGACGAGGAGUUCUUGAGGAGGAUCCAGGAGCUCGCGGCGGGGCAGCACCCGGGCGCCGGCGGGUGCGGGUGGCCGGCGAGCGUGGAGCGGAGCGCGAGCAGCGUCGGGCUGCCGCUGUCGCUGCGGAUGCUCAAGCGGCGGAAGCAGCAGCAGCAGCAGCUGGAGCAGGGGCG
rnacentral:lncRNA from 1 species